UGGGGGCAAUUAUAUCAUCUUCUAUGUUGU
rnacentral:piRNA from 1 species